rnacentral:rRNA from 1 species
UACGUAGGGGCAAGCGUUGUCCGGAAUCAUUGGGCGUAAAGAGCGUGUAGGCGGUUCGGUAAGUCGGCUGUGAAAGUCCAGGGCUCAACCCUGGGAUGCCGGUCGAUACUGCCGGACUAGAGUUCGGAAGAGGCGAGUGGAAUUCCCGGUGUAGCGGUGAAAUGCGCAGAUAUCGGGAGGAACACCUAUGGCGAAGGCAGCUCGCUGGGACGUUACUGACGCUGGAGACGCGAAAGCGUGGGGAGCAAACAGG